GUCCCUAUAGUUUAAUGGAUAGAACCGCGGUUUCCUAAACCGUUAAUCCCAGUUCGAGUCUGGGUGGGGGCGCCA
rnacentral:tRNA from 1 species